UUAGAGUUUGAUCAUGGCUCAGAUUGAACGCUGGCGGCAGGCCUAACACAUGCAAGUCGAGCGGUAACAGAUCUAGCUUGCUAGAUGCUGACGAGCGGCGGACGGGUGAGUAACGCGUAGGAAUUUGCCUAGUAGUGGGGGAUAGCCCAGAGAAAUUUGGAUUAAUACCGCAUACACUCUACGGAGAAAAGCAGGGAGGACCUUGCGCUAUUAGAUAAGCCUGCGUGGGAUUAGCUAGUUGGUGAGGUAAAGGCUCACCAAGGCGACGAUCUCUAGCUGGUCUGAGAGGAUGAUCAGCCACACUGGAACUGAGACACGGUCCAGACUCCUACGGGAGGCAGCAGUGGGGAAUAUUGCACAAUGGACGAAAGCCUGAUGCAGCCAUGCCGCGUGUGUGAAGAAGGCCUUAGGGUUGUAAAGCACUUUCAGUCAGGAGGAAAGGUUAGUAGUUAAUACCUGCUAGCUGUGACGUUACUGACAGAAGAAGCACCGGCUAACUUCGUGCCAGCAGCCGCGGUAAUACAGAGGGUGCGAGCGUUAAUCGGAAUUACUGGGCGUAAAGAGUACGUAGGCGGUUAUUUAAGUCGGAUGUGAAAUCCCCGAGCUCAACUUGUGAAUUGCACUCGAAACUGAAUGACUAGAGUUUUGUAGAGGGUGGUAGAAUUUCAGGUGUAGCGGUGAAAUGCGUAGAGAUCUGAAGGAACACCAGUGGCGAAGGCGACUUCCUGGACCAAUACUGACGCUGAGGUGCGAAAGCGUGGGGAGCAAACGGGAUUAGAUACCCCGGUAGUCCACGCAGUAAACGAUGUCUAUUAGAAGUUUGUGGCUAUAUGCCGUGGGUUUCAAAGCUAACGCAUUAAAUAGACCGCCUGGGGAGUACGGCCGCAAGGUUAAAACUCAAAUGAAUUGACGGGGGCCCGCACAAGCGGUGGAGCAUGUGGUUUAAUUCGAUGCAACGCGAAGAACCUUACCAUCCCUUGACAUCCAGAGAAGAUAGCAGAGAUGCUUUUGUGCCUUCGGGAACUCUGAGACAGGUGCUGCAUGGCUGUCGUCAGCUCGUGUUGUGAAAUGUUGGGUUAAGUCCCGCAACGAGCGCAACCCCUAUCCUUAGUUGCCAGCACGUAAUGGUGGGAACUCUAAGGAGACUGCCGGUGACAAACCGGAGGAAGGUGGGGACGACGUCAAGUCAUCAUGGCCCUUACGGGAUGGGCUACACACGUGCUACAAUGGGCAGUACAGAGGGUUGCGAGCUAGCAAUAGUUAGCGGAUCCCUUAAAGCUGUUCGUAGUCCGGAUUGGGGUCUGCAACUCGACCCCAUGAAGUCGGAAUCGCUAGUAAUCGCGGAUCAGAAUGCCGCGGUGAAUACGUUCCCGGGCCUUGUACACACCGCCCGUCACACCAUGGGAGUGGGUUGCAAAAGAAGUGGGUAGUCUAACCUUCGGGAGGGCGCUCACCACUUUGUGAUUCAUGACUGGGGUGAAGUCGUAACAAGGGUAAACA
rnacentral:rRNA from 1 species